CCCUGAAUUUUUAACAAGUUUUCCAGUGAAACAAUACAUUGAUUUUAAGAGCUUUUCCAGGGAAGCAAUACAAUGAAGCUCUACCAUUGUUGAAGGCAUUGAGGAACCUGAGAUUUGAUGACAUCUAGGAGGGAUAUGCAUCAACAAAUUCAAAUAAAAGUAACCAACAAGCAGCUCCCCAAGUUGAGGUACUUCAACUCAGGCAUUCAGCCAUUGGCCAUCUGUCAUCUGUUUCCUGACAGGGAAAUUUUUUAGAAAGACAUAAUUUGACUGCAAAUAUUCAUAAAACCUGAAAUAUUUCAUUUUCACAUUCGUUCCAAUCUGUCUGAAGUACCACGUGACUAGAAUUACUGGAGGUUACGUUGCAGCGUGGAUUCCCUAGGUACAAGGAAGUUUCUGGGAUAGAUUUCUGGUGCAGAAAGUCCUUCUUAAUGGAGAUGACAAUUUUUUCAAACUCACAGAGUACUUGAACUGCCUCCUUAAUUGAACCAGCAGCAGAAUUGUUAAUCAAGGACAACUUCUGAGAUAAAUCAUAAAUGUUUGUUGUUUGA